rnacentral:sRNA from 1 species
UCGCUUGGUGGCGCACUUGGACAAGUUCUUGGUGGGCUAACGUGUACUUUUAAUAAAGAAAAUGAAUCACACAAAGCCCGCUAACCAUGCGGGCUUUUUAUU